rnacentral:rRNA from 1 species
UACGGGGGGGGCAAGCGUUGUUCGGAAUUACUGGGCGUAAAGGGCUCGUAGGCGGCCAACUAAGUCGGACGUGAAAUCCCCAGGCUUAACUUGGGAACUGCAUCCGAUACUGGAUGGCUUGAAUCCGGGAGAGGGAUGCGGAAUUCCAGGUGUAGCGGUGAAAUGCGUAGAUAUCUGGAGGAACACCGGUGGCGAAGGCGGCAUCCUGGACCGGCAUUGACGCUGAUGAGCGAAAGCCAGGGGAGCAAACGGG